CCUACGGGAGGCAGCAGUGGGGAAUAUUGCACAAUGGGGGAAACCCUGAUGCAGCGACGCCGCGUGAAGGAAGAAGUAUUUCGGUAUGUAAACUUCUAUCAGCAGGGAAGAAAGUGACGGUACCUGACUAAGAAGCCCCGGCUAACUACGUGCCAGCAGCCGCGGUAAUACGUAGGGGGCAAGCGUUAUCCGGAUUUACUGGGUGUAAAGGGAGCGUAGGCGGCGAUGCAAGUCAGAAGUGAAAGCCCGGGGCUCAACUCCGGGACUGCUUUUGAAACUGUAUGGCUAGAUUGCAGGAGAGGCAAGUGGAAGUCCUGGGGGAGCGGUGAAAUGCGGCGAUAUUAGGAGGAAAACCAGGGGCGAAGGAGGCUUGCUGGACUGUAAAUGACGCGGAGGCUCG
rnacentral:rRNA from 1 species